UAGAGCUUGUCUAUCUCGGCUAAUAGAAGUCUUACCUCGGCAAGAGGGCUCCGAACCUAGAUAAAUCUGUGUGUGUGAAUCGUGUGUGUUCUUCUUCACGUCCUCCCUCCUCCGGUUCCUCCUUCGUCCAUCGGCCCCAAGUUUAAGCCAUUCUAUGGCAACUGCCGUGACACCACCACGACACGGAGGGAGUAGUAAAAUAAAAUAUGAGACGACGUGGCUCAACUCAUCUGCGAGUACACGGCGCACCGAUUAAUAGUCUCUUGAUUUUGAUAUAGCUUGCGUUUUCCAUGAGCAGUGGUGGCUUUUUAUAUGCAUCUCUAAACUUGCUGCCAAAUUUCAUUAACUAGUAAAUGAAUAACAAAUUUGCUGACGAUUUUACUUCAACUAGUAACUUUUUUUCCGAAACGGUGUAAAAGCUUUAUCUCAUCAUGUUAAUUAAGAAAGAGUGUACAAAUGAAAAACAAAGAAAAAGAUUAGCCGAAGGCUAACAAGCAAGUCUAUUCUCGCGGUAAAAAGAAUCUCAAAUCGGUGACACCCGCAAACCCCCAAGAGGUAGGCUCCCUUUUAAUUUUACUUGUGAUGACCGUGGGCAUCACCCAGAAUCUUUCAGGACACCCUCAUGUUUCUUCCAUUCAAAAUCUCUCCCAAAAAAAAAAGCAUCGCCAAGAUGGUCAUGCCUUUUCGUCAGGUCCAUUGAAUGUUGAUAAGGGAGCACCACUAAUCCUUGACCGAAUUAAAGCUUGAUCAAAUGAGCAUAUCAACAUGCACAUAUGAGGCCCAACCAAUCUCUAAUCAUUCUCCAACACGCAGCGAGUAUCAACAUUUGAAAAAUAAAUGGGCCUCUGAUUCAUGACCUCUCUUGCAUAGUUGACGUAAGUUGUAGUUUGGCCAUCCUCAUCGUUGAAGUCGAUCAGUAGUCCAAACUCAACUUUGAAUAAUGAGCCAUGCAAAAAAAAAAACUUUCCAAACAACAGUCUACAUGAUUGAACUGGCCCGCGGUUCCUUCGUCGAACUGAGCUCUAUACGCCCACAUGUUGUCGAAUAGACUCCCGAGGUGCACACACUCCGUGGAUGUCGUUCGGAACAUCUUCCUCCAGGUUCACGCCUCGUAAUCGUCCCCAUAGAUCAAUGAAUUCAACGAGAUGUUACACCGUGAGACCUCCAGAAAUGUUGAUGUUUCUAACCCUAAGAUGACGGCCCAACACUUUUUUGACACAUGAAUUCUUCAGUUUUGAAUUUGCAAAGAUGGAAGGAGCUAUGUCUUUGGGCUUGCACCCG
rnacentral:lncRNA from 1 species